UACGUAGGGCGCAAGCGUUGUCCGGAAUUAUUGGGCGUAAAGAGCUCGUAGGCGGUUUGUCGCGUCUGCUGUGAAAACCCCAGGCUCAACCUGGGGCUUGCAGUGGGUACGGGCAGACUAGAGUGCGGUAGGGGUGACUGGAAUUCCUGGUGUAGCGGUGGAAUGCGCAGAUAUCAGGAGGAACACCGAUGGCGAAGGCAGGUCACUGGGCCGCAACUGACGCUGAGGAGCGAAAGCAUGGGGAGCGAACAGG
rnacentral:rRNA from 1 species